GCUUAACACAUGCAAGUCGAGGGGCAGCAUGGUCUUAGCUUGCUAAGGCCGAUGGCGACCGGCGCACGGGUGAGUAACACGUAUCCAACCUGCCGUCUACUCUUGGACAGCCUUCUGAAAGGAAGAUUAAUACAAGAUGGCAUCAUGAGUCCGCAUGUUCACAUGAUUAAAGGUAUUCCGGUAGACGAUGGGGAUGCGUUCCAUUAGAUAGUAGGCGGGGUAACGGCCCACCUAGUCUUCGAUGGAUAGGGGUUCUGAGAGGAAGGUCCCCCACAUUGGAACUGAGACACGGUCCAAACUCCUACGGGAGGCAGCAGUGAGGAAUAUUGGUCAAUGGGCGAGAGCCUGAACCAGCCAAGUAGCGUGAAGGAUGACUGCCCUAUGGGUUGUAAACUUCUUUUAUAAAGGAAUAAAGUCGGGUAUGGAUACCCGUUUGCAUGUACUUUAUGAAUAAGGAUCGGCUAACUCCGUGCCAGCAGCCGCGGUAAUACGGAGGAUCCGAGCGUUAUCCGGAUUUAUUGGGUUUAAAGGGAGCGUAGAUGGAUGUUUAAGUCAGUUGUGAAAGUUUGCGGCUCAACCGUAAAAUUGCAGUUGAUACUGGAUAUCUUGAGUGCAGUUGAGGCAGGCGGAAUUCGUGGUGUAGCGGUGAAAUGCUUAGAUAUCACGAAGAACUCCGAUUGCGAAGGCAGCCUGCUAAGCUGCAACUGACAUUGAGGCUCGAAAGUGUGGGUAUCAAACAGGAUUAGAUACCCUGGUAGUUCACACGGUAAACGAUGAAUUCUCGCUGUUUGCGAUAUACAGCAAAGCGGCCAAGCGAAAGCGUUAAGUUAUUCCACCUGGGGAGUACGCCGGCAACGGUGAAACUCAAAGGAAUUGACGGGGGCCCGCACAAGCGGAGGAACAUGUGGUUUAAUUCGAUGAUACGCGAGGAACCUUACCCGGGCUUAAAUUGCAGAUGAAUUACGGUGAAAGCCGUAAGCCGCAAGGCAUCUGUGAAGGUGCUGCAUGGUUGUCGUCAGCUCGUGCCGUGAGGUGUCGGCUUAAGUGCCAUAACGAGCGCAACCCUUGUUGUCAGUUACUAACAGGUUCCGCUGAGGACUCUGACAAGACUGCCAUCGUAAGAUGUGAGGAAGGUGGGGAUGACGUCAAAUCAGCACGGCCCUUACGUCCGGGGCUACACACGUGUUACAAUGGGGGGUACAGAGGGCCGCUACCACGCGAGUGGAUGCCAAUCCCAAAAACCUCUCUCAGUUCGGACUGGAGUCUGCAACCCGACUCCAGGAAGCUGGAUUCGCUAGUAAUCGCGCAUCAGCCACGGCGCGGUGAAUACGUUCCCGGGCCUUGUACACACCGCCCGUCAAGCCAUGGGAGCCGGGGGUACCUGAAGUGCGUAACCGCGAGGAGCGCCCUAGGGUAAAACUGGUGACUGGGGCUAAGU
rnacentral:rRNA from 1 species